rnacentral:rRNA from 1 species
GUCGAACGGCAGCAUGAUCUAGCUUGCUAGAUUGAUGGCGAGUGGCGAACGGGUGAGUAAUACAUCGGAACGUGCCCUGUAGUGGGGGAUAACUAGUCGAAAGAUUAGCUAAUACCGCAUACGACCUGAGGGUGAAAGUGGGGGACCGCAAGGCCUCAUGCUAUAGGAGCGGCCGAUGUCUGAUUAGCUAGUUGGUGAGGUAAAGGCUCACCAAGGCGACGAUCAGUAGCUGGUCUGAGAGGACGAUCAGCCACACUGGGACUGAGACACGGCCCAGACUCCUACGGGAGGCAGCAGUGGGGAAUUUUGGACAAUGGGCGAAAGCCUGAUCCAGCAAUGCCGCGUGUGUGAAGAAGGCCUUCGGGUUGUAAAGCACUUUUGUCCGGAAAGAAAUGGCUCUGGUUAAUACCUGGGGUCGAUGACGGUACCGGAAGAAUAAGGACCGGCUAACUACGUGCCAGCAGCCGCGGUAAUACGUAGGGUCCAAGCGUUAAUCGGAAUUACUGGGCGUAAAGCGUG